AAAUCAUUUAAAUAAACAGAUUCAGCAUAACUCACUGAAGUAGUCACCACUGAUCAAGCAAUCUAUUGAAGGUGCGAGGUCGAUGGAAACUCAACUAACCACAGUAAAGUAAUCGACGCUACUGAUCAAGCAAUCGACGAUGAGAAUCUAGCGCUCGAACUGAACUCUUCACUAGCAGCACGAAAACGAAAACGGACGAAAAAUUUCACCAACGGUGAGAUCGAUGGAAAGGGAUGCAGAUCGAAACAUUUCACCAACGGACAGUUGCG
rnacentral:misc_RNA from 1 species